rnacentral:ncRNA from 1 species
CGGACGGUGCUAAAAAGAUAGUUAUUCCUAGAACUGACAGUUCUUCGUCAUAACUCCUAUUUUAGCUUUGUCCG